rfam:Myotis davidii contig30663, whole genome shotgun sequence.
GGUGUUUUUUGAGUAACACACCCCAGAAUCAGGCUCCCUCCUCUCUGGCUGUGGUGUGUCACCCGAGAACUGCA